UCGGGGGUAGAGCACUGUUUCGGCUAGGGGGCCAUCCCGGCUUACCAACCCGAUGCAAACUGCGAAUACCGA
rnacentral:ncRNA from 1 species